rnacentral:lncRNA from 1 species
AUGAUUGCUGUGUCCUAUCUGCCGUGUGCUGGAACAUACCUAUCAGCUCAAGUUGCUCAAGUAAUCGGAAGGGUUUUGCACAACCAUGAGAGAAGAAUGCAGUCCAGUAUUUUCAGGAAGAUGGAUUCCAGCCCAUUAAAACUAAAAUUUCAGAAAGACAGGCACUCUGAUGUAUCAUCUGUCAAGGUACCUAGAUUCCAGCCUGUGAUUUCAACUGGAUCAAUGAUGGAUCAUAUGAUUCUGUAAGAUAUUUCUUCGGAAGACUAUAGCUAGUAUUUAUUUCAGAGCGAGGACUACGUAAAGACAGAAACAACAACAGAAUUUUUAUUAUAUAAUGAUGGGGGAGACCAGUAAACCAACAGUAUGAUUCAUCUCACUUAACUUAGCCAUCCAAAAG